UACGGAGGGUGCAAACGUUGUCCGGAAUCACUGGGCGUAAAGCGCAUGUAGGUGGUUUUAUAAGUGAACGAUUAAAGACCGAUGCUUAACGUCGGGAAGGUUGUUCAUACUGUAAAACUUGAGGAUGGCAGGGGUAAGCGGAACUUUAGGUGUAGGAGUGAAAUCCGUAGAUAUCUAAAGGAACACCAAUGGCGAAGGCAGCUUACUGGGCCAUUUCUGACACUGAGAUGCGAAAGCGUGGGGAGCAAACGGG
rnacentral:rRNA from 1 species